UACGUAGGGUGCGAGCGUUGUCCGGAAUUAUUGGGCGUAAAGAGCUCGUAGGCGGUUUGUCGCGUCGUCUGUGAAAUCCCACGGCUCAACUGUGGGCUUGCAGUCGAUACGGGCAGGCUAGAGUUCGGUAGGGGAGACUGGAAUUCCUGGUGUAGCGGUGAAAUGCGCAGAUAUCAGGAGGAACACCGGUGGCGAAGGCGGGUCUCUGGGCCGAUACUGACGCUGAGGAGCGAAAGCGUGGGGAGCGAACAGG
rnacentral:rRNA from 1 species